rnacentral:rRNA from 1 species
AUGAUAGCUGGUGGCUCUCCUCCAGACGAGGAAGGCGCGAUGCGCAAAAGGGACUGGCAGUUGCCGGCGCAACAGCAUUGCGCGGCGGCGGUGGCGAUGUCGCAGGGGCUAGGAACGAAAGGUAGGAGGCGGCUAGUUUGGCCAGACUCUAUAGGAUCUCCUCCAUUUGUCCGGCGUGUGCAGGAGCUCCAUAGAUAUGGCUGCUGCUAUCCAGCGAUGGCUCCUGAAGCCCAUAUCUCUUCCAUCGGGAUCCAGGGGAGCCCCGCGGUUUUGGCCCUGCUGUUUUUCUAUCUUCAAAACUUCGAUCUGCUUCAUGCUGGCCUCCUCGAUCUGUACACCGAUGGGUUCCGGUCUUCCUCUCGGAGAUCUCAGCUUUCGAGGCGUGGCGUCACUGGAUUUCUGCAUUGGAAUUGA